rnacentral:rRNA from 1 species
UUAAUAUUCCUGUACUUGGUGUUACUGCGAAGGGGGGACGGAGAAGGCUAUGUUAGCCGGGCGACGGUUGUCCCGGUUUAAGCAUGUAGGCUGAUUAUCCAGGCAAAUCCGGAUAAUCAAGGCUGAGGUGUGAUGACGAGGCACUACGGUGCUGAAGUAACAAAUGCCCUGCUUCCAGGAAAAGCCUCUAAGCAUCAGGUAACAUCAAAUCGUACCCCAAACCGACACAGGUGGUCAGGUAGAGAAUACCAAGGCGCUUGAGAGAACUCGGGUGAAGGAACUAGGCAAAAUGGUGCCGUAACUUCGGGGAGAAGGCACGCUGGUGUGUAGGUGAAGCCCCUGCGGGUGGAGCUGAGACCAGUCGAAGAUACCAGCUGGCUGCAACUGUUUAUUAAAAA